rnacentral:tRNA from 1 species
GGAGGUAUGGUGUAAAGGAUAGCACACAAAUCUUCUAAAUUUGUUGUCUAGGUUCAAGUCCUAGUAUCUCCG